rnacentral:lncRNA from 1 species
AUGAAAACGGUGAUGAAGGGACUGGAAUUGCCUGUCUCUGCCUUUGUUACCUCCCCUUUCCCAAGUGCCUGGGGUGAGGCGUGGAGGAGGGAACUAGAAAUGAAAGAGAAGGAGAAACUUCUAGAAGGCUGCCUUCCUAGUGGGAACGUGGCUGCUGAUAGGAAAAAUGAGCAAACCAAGGCAGUCUGGGAGAUGGGUGAAUGGGUCAUGGGGUCCCCUGCAGAGCACACUCAGAAAGGGGCUCCCAACUAUGACAGUGCUGCAGGGACUGCUGGCUGUUGCCUGGGAUCGAGACCAUCCUGGUCAACAUGGUGAAACCCCGUCUCUACUAAAAAUACAAAAAAUUAGCUGGGCAUAGUGGCGCAUGCCUGUAAUCCCAGCUAUUCAGGAGGCUGAGGCAGGAGAAUUGCCUGAACCCAGGAGGCGGAGGUUGUGGUGAGCCGAGAUCGCGCCAUUGCUCUCCAGCCUGUGUAACAAGAGUGAAACUCCGUCUCAAAAACAAACAAACAAAAAAAAGCCCUAGCCUGCUGACUCCUGCCUAUAAUCCCAGCACUUUGGGAGGCUGAGGUGGGAAGAUCAGGGUGAGGCCAGGAGUUCAAGACCAGCCUGGGCAGCAUAGCAAUUUCCUGUCUCUACAAAAAUUUUUUUAAAAAUAUAAAAUAAAUAAGUAUAUAAAUAAAUAUGAUGUCAAGAAGCAAUUGGGCAUCAGGGAGGAGUGGCCUCUCUGUAGGCCCCAGUGGGCACUGGUGGGAAGCAAAGGAAUUUGAAGGGUCUAAACCUCCCCAGCCACUGGGGCAUUUGCCUAGUCCACUCCUAUUCCACCGCAGCUUUCAGGGUUCUGGGUAGUGAGAUAACAGAAGGAGACAUCCAGUCCAAAAAAAUACACCCCCAGCAUCCAUGGCUGGCCCAUUCUCAGGUCAUGUCUGUGCAGGUGAAGUGGAGAUUAACACCGGUUGCUAUUGCUGUAUCUCCCAUCCAUCCAUUCAUUCUACCCAUCUCUCCAUUCCUCUCUCUCUCCCUCAUUCCCUGGCUUCCUUCUCUUCUCCCUUCCACACGUGUCUUUUAAGCAUGAACUCUGCAAGGGUCUGCAGGAGCAGCUGGGAAUACAGAGGGAAGCAAGAAUGGUGCCUGCUCCGGGCAGCUCCUGGCUGAGUAGAGAGGAAGCAGGUGUGCACCCCUUCCCUCAUGGGAAUUGAGGAAAGUGCCCUUCCAGGCAGGCUGCCCAUGGCAAGGGUUUGGGGGCACAGAUGGCAUCUUUGCACCAAUUAGGAAAGGGCAUCCUUCCUCGAGGGAGAAGCUGCCCUGAACCAGGAUGCUGAGCCUGGAGAGCAGGAGGCUGUGAAGGGAG